GAGCAUUGAGGACUAUUGGUCCAAGCAGGCAGCUGUCAUCCAGCCAGUCCGAAGACAGCAUGACGGUCGUAUGGUUKGUUAAGUGGUGAGGAACAGGAAGAAAGAAUUAUACUCGUAUCAUCGUAACUCGUCGGUACCAAAAAAGAAAGCAUCGACUCAACUCCGCACCAGCAGCCGCGGUAAUACGGAGGAUCCGAGCGUUAUCUUAAUAUGAAAUUAUUGGGUUUAAAGGGUUGCGCACGUAGGCGGUUAGAUCAAGUCAGAGGAGAAAUCCCCUAGAUUAACGUAGGGCAAUUGCAUUAAUGACUGGUUUCAAGAGUAAUAGUAUAGGGAAGUAAGUAGAACAUGUAGAGCAGCGAAGAAAGGAUUAGAUAUGACAAAGAAUACCUAACGGUGGAGAAGGCCCCUUAGUACGUAAUUAUAGACUCAUGACGAACGAAAGCGUGCGGAGCGAACAAGAUUAAAUACCGUGGUAGUCCACGCCGGAUACGAUGGAUACUAGGUGUUCGCUCUUCCCAGGAGUGAGUCUUUCGGAUGAUAAGUAUCCCACCUGGGGAGUACGUAGUACAGAAUGAAAGUCAAAG
rnacentral:rRNA from 1 species